UACGUAGGGGGCAAGCGUUGUCCGGAAUCAUUGGGCGUAAAGCGCGUGUAGGCGGCUCGGUAAGUCCGCUCUGAAAGUCCAGGGCUCAACCCUGGGAUGCGGGUGGAUACUGCCGGGCUCGAGUCCGGAAGAGGCGAGUGGAAUUCCCGGUGUAGCGGUGAAAUGCGCAGAUAUCGGGAGGAACACCAAUGGCGAAGGCAGCUCGCUGGGACGUGACUGACGCUGAGACGCGAAGGCCAGGGGAGCAAACGGG
rnacentral:rRNA from 1 species